rnacentral:misc_RNA from 1 species
GUUUUAACCACCACAAGAAACACCAAACUAAAAUGACAGGCCAAUGACACACCUCCAGAUCCAACGUAACAAGUCAACUCUCUCUCUCUCUCGCUGUCUCGCUCACAGACAAAGCCUUUUCUUCGCAAACACACAUACGCUCGCGAGAGCACUUCCCUCUCGGAAUUACCAAACUACCCCCCUCCGUAUCCCUUUUUAGCAAUCCUCUUCUCCGCCCUUUGA